GUGAAAGAAGGAUCCCUGCAAGCAGGAAGUCAGGACGGAAAGGGGCAGGUGGGCAGGGAUAGAAAAGUGAGUGCUGAGUAGACGCUUCUCUCCUUACCAGAACCAGUAACCACCCUGCUGGCUGCUCCUCUAAUUUGCCCUGGCACAAGGACAGAAUGUGUUCUGCUGAUACACGUUUCUAAAGCACCAAGCAGCCUCUGCUGACAGCUGGCUUGGUUGCUGUGUCAAUGCAGAAAAAGUGAGAGAGCAAAAGAAUUUGGUUCAGAGUGGAAGUUUAACAGGUGAAAGAAAGAGAAGGGUUCUCUGCACAGAGAGGAGUCCUGGAGAAAUGGGCUGCUGGCCAGGCGUGGUGGCUCACCCCUGUAAUCCCAGCACUUUGGGAAGCUGAGAUGGGUGGAUCACCUGAGGUCAGGAGUUCAAGACCAGCUUGGUCAACAUGGUGAAACCCCGUCUCCACUAAAAAUACAAAAAUUAGUUGGGUAUAAUGGUACAUACCUGCAAUCCCAGCUACGCAGGAGGCCGGGGCAGGAGAAUCACUUGAACCUGGAAGGUGGAGGUAGCAGUGAGUUGAGAUGAUGCCACUGUGCUCCAGCCUGGGUGACAGUGCAUGACUCAUCUCAAAAAAUAAAUAAACAAAUAAAUAAAAGGAAAAGAGAAAAUGGGUUGCUGCUUCCACAGUGAAGUGCACGAGGUUUUAUAGAUGAGCUUGAGGAGGUGGUGUUUUACAUAGGGUACGAAAGAUUGGUUGGAUCAGGUAUGCCAUUGGCAUAGUGCAUGAAGAAGCUGGCCACCCCACCCUAAUCUUUUAAGAAUAAUAUUUUUAAAAUUAUAUAUUGUCUUAGUCCAUUUGUGCCGCCAUGACAAAAUACCACAGACUGGGUAAUUUAUACAUAACAGAAUCUUAUUUUUUACAGUUCUGGAGGCUGGGAAGUUCAAGAUCAAGGCGCCAGCAUUGGUGUCCGGUGGGGGCAUUCUUGCUGUGUCCUCACAAGGUAGAAAAAUGGAAGGACAAACACUGUGCCCUCACAUAGCAGAAGAGCAGAAGAGCAAAAACGGCCUAAGCUAGUCCCCUCCAGGUUUUUUAUAAGGCACUCGUCCAUUAAUCACUUCCCAAAAGGCCCCACCUUUCAAUAAGGAUUGAGUUUCAACACUUGAAUUUGGGGACCAUUCAAACCACAGCAUCUAUAUACAUCUGUAAAAUAACUUACACUUGCAGCACUAUAUGCCUAGCAAUAUACUGACACAUUAAUACUUGGAGAUUAAAGUGACUUUUGUGGUCACCUAGCUAAUUGGUGAUAGAGCUUGAAAUGAAAACUCCAGCAUCUAACUCCAAAAUAUGUGUUCUUAACUAUUAACUUGUUUACUCCUUGUUCAAUUAUUAUUCCCAUUCACAGAAGUAGACAUUAUUAACACUCCCAUUCUACUGAACAGGAAAGAGAGGAAUACAAAGUUCAAUAACUUGGUCACAGCCCUAAAAUAGAAAAGCAUGAAUUUGACCCAGUAAGCCAAACUUGGAGCCUGUGCAUGUUAUGUUAACCAUGACAUUAUGCUGCCUCUCUGAAGACAUCUUAUCAAUAAGGCUUAGUAAUUCACUUCUUUAGAUAAUGAAACAAAUGAGGUGUAAAACGAACCUGAGGUUUUAAAGUUAAGACAGCUAGACUGUAGUAAAAAUCUAGCUUAGCUCCCUAUUACCUGCUCUAACUUGAGCUAAGCUCAAGCUCCUUAUUUAUGAAAUGGCUCAAUAAUCCUUUCUUCAUGAUAUGGUAUUGAGGCUUGGAGGAGAAAACAUCCAUAAAUGGUUUAAUGUGGGCCUUGUACAUACUAUGUAGUUGAAGACAACAAUCACACCUGUUCACCUUGUAUGUCCAGCAUCACACCAGACUCAUAGGAGACAAUGUAAAUUUUGCUUAAUGUAUGUAUUAAUCAAUUAAAUAACUGAUUGACAGACUGAUUGAUUAAUAGAGUUCUGAAUCACCCAUCUGAUUCCAACAACCCACCUCUCUUUUCUGGCUCAUUUCUAGUCUAUCAUUUUAAACUUGAAUCAAUUUUCUGUAUAUCCUAUAUCCAUUAGUAGAUUUAAAAAGAGAUGAUAGCAAUUUUAGAAAACAUAAGGAUAAGGCAAGUCUAAUACAUAAAGAAUUUCAUCCAUUUAAUCAUACCAUCAUCCUUUUAGACUGUUCAUUGCACAGAAAAAUUACAGUUUCAGAAACCUCACUCUUUCUCCCUCCCAAAUAAGAUCUAAAAUGUUUUAUUGUAUCUGACUCCCUUCCUUCCUCUAAAAACCAUGCUUCGGUUUUUUAAUGAAAAAAAAAAUAGACAAAAGAAAAAGAAGAAUAUAAUUCUGAGUUAUUGAAUUUCUGAUUCAUUUUUGUUCACUAACUUUUUUUUUUUUUUUUUUGAGACAUGGCCUCACUCUGUUGCCCAGGCUGGAGUGCAAUGGCGUGAUCUCAACUCACUGCAGCCUCAAUCUCCCAGGCUCAUGGUUCUGCCCACCUCAGGAUCCCCAAGUAGCUGGAGCUACAGGCAUGCACCAUCGCAUUUGGCUAAUUUUUGCUUUUUUUUUUUUUUUGCCUUUUUUUUGUAAAGACACGGUUUUGCCAUGUUGCCCAGGCUGCACUAACAAUUUGAACUGGGUCUUCAGUCACCAGGUAGGCCUGUAAGUAAAUCUAGAGUCUUGAAUAUUGGUGGCAUUCCAAAAAAUUAGCACAAAUUGAAUGAAAAAUUUGUAAACUUUCCUUCAGUUGGCCAAAAAAC
rnacentral:lncRNA from 1 species